GGUAAUAAAAAUUAUUGGCAAAACAGAAUUCAAAUCUUACAGUGAGAACAGUAGAUAAAGCAAAUUUCUUGACGAUGUUAUUGUCCUUCUCACGCAAUUCAGCUUCUUCAAUGUUGAAUUCAUAGGACCAUAAAGCCAUCACGUGGUUAUUAAUUUCCCCCCUUUGCUUGAAGGAUCCAUAGAAUUCAUCAUAAGGAACAUGGAAGCUAUCAAUUCGAACAAAUGGAGGGUUGUGAUAAAAAAACUAAAUUAGGAUUUGAAACAUUUAACUACUCCUAAUGAAACAUGUGAAACAUACACAAGGAACAUUGGAAAAAAAUUGAACUAUUGUAACAUGAGUACUACAUACUUGAAACAUUUAACUACUCCUAAUGAAACAUGUGAACCAUACAGAAGGAACAUUGGGGAAAAAAUUGAACUGCUGUAACAUGAGUACUACAUACUUGAAACAUCUAACGACACCUACUGAAACAUGUGAAACAUACAGAAGGAACAUUGGGGGAAAAAUAAACUGCUGUAACAUGAGUACUAUAUACUUGAAACAUCUAACUACACCUACUGAAAUAUGUGAAACAUACAGAAGGAACAUCGGGAAAAUUUUAUUCAGAUAUUAAUGAUAUUAGACAUAAAGAGUUGCUCACGGUUGUUCUUGUUCAUCAUUAUUCGAAUUUGGAUUAAUUGGCACUUUCUUCAUUAUCCUCUUGCUGAGAUACUUGUUAUAUGCAGUAAGAAUUUUAUCAUCUAACUUAAUUCUCUUCAAUUUCUAUCCUUGGUUCAGAUGGAUGGUAGCCCUCUUCCUCCU
rnacentral:lncRNA from 1 species